rnacentral:rRNA from 1 species
CCUACGGGUGGCAGCAGUGAGGAAUAUUGGUCAAUGGGCGUAAGCCUGAACCAGCCAAGUCGCGUGAGGGAUGAAGGUUCUACGGAUCGUAAACCUCUUUUAUAAGGGAAUAAAGUCUGGGACGUGUCCUGUUUUGUGUGUACCUUAUGAAUAAGCAUCGGCUAACUCCGUGCCAGCAGCCGCGGUAAUACGGAGGAUCCGAGCGUUAUCCGGAUUUAUUGGGUUUAAAGGGUGCGGAGGCGGCCUUUUAAGUCAGCGGUGAAAGGCCGGGGCUCAACCAAAGACGAGACGUUGAAACUGGGGGGCUUGAGUAGGUGUGAGGCAGGCGGAAUGCGUGGUGUAGCGGUGAAAUGCUUAGAUAUCGCGCAGAACCACGAUUGCGAAGGCAGCGUGCCAAGUCAUGACUGACGCUGAGGCACGAAAGCGUGGGGAUCGAACAGGAUUAGAUACCCCUGUAGUC